CGGACUUUGUGAGGUUUAGUAGGUUGUAGAAGGACAUUGUUAUCCAUUACUGAGGCUGACAACCAGUUAUGCUGUGUUUUGGCAUAUUGAAAUCGACAAGAGUGACUCCCCUCAUCCGCUCCAUCUACAACUUCCUGUAAGGGAGAUCACAUUCUCCGAAACAGUGCUGAUCCAGUUCAACUUUUCCCGAGGAGGCUGCAGGGUCAUCCAUUGUUUUGAAAGGUGUCACUUGACUGUCAGCUCUCCAUCCAGCCCUGCAUGGCAGUCAAGAAAAGAACCUCCUGAACCAUUCCUGCUUAACUCACCUCCACUGGACCUUUCACAUUUUUUUCCAUCUCAACAUCAAACAUAGUGAACGAUACUCUAAAAUUUAUAUAUAAAUUGCCCAGCCAUACGUCAGCCCAAACUUACUUUUCCUGACACAUUUAAGGUGAAUGACACCAAGAUAUGGCAGUUGAAGAAAAACAAAUGUAGAGUAUGUGAUAACAGGACAUGCAAAUCAUCAAUUAUCAACAGUGUUAUUUUUGUGGUGGUUAAGUCUAGAUUGAUCGUGCUAGUAACGUUAACUAGCAAGUUGUUCGUUAAGGGCUGACGGCUGGUUAACGUUACGGACAAAAACUAUUUGUUCCGCGUAUUCUCUUGUGUGUAUCACGUAUCCGUCUCCUCUAGCUGUUGUGGUUGAUAUGAUGUAGCUUUGACCAGACACAAAAAUGGUGACAGCAAAGCACUGUGAUGUCACGUGGUCCUUUAAAUAUAAUUAUAAAUAUAAAAAUAUAAAUAUAUACCAGAAACUAUGCACAAAGGACUACUUGCACCCUCGUGCUGCUGAAUUUUUGAUGUUAUUUAAUAAAUGUCAUGUUUUAUAUC